GACGAACGCUGGCGGCGUGCUUAACACAUGCAAGUCGAACGAAGUGGCGUACGGGUGAGUAAUACGAGGGUAACCUGCCCUCCUUUUUGGGAUCAGCCUAGGAAACGGGGUCUAAUAACGUAACAAGGGGGAUGGGCUCGCGGCCUAUCAGCUUGUUGGUGGGGGGAUGGCCUACCAAGGCGGUGACGGGUAGCCGGCCUGAGAGGGUGACCGGCUACAUGGGGACGUAGAUAAGGCCACGACUCCUACGGGAUGCAGUAGUGGCGGAUAUUGAACAAUGGGCGAAAGACUGAUGCAGCGACGCCGCGUGGGGGAUGAGGGCUGUCGGGUUGUAAUCCUCUGUCGAAAUCGAACGGGUAGGUAGAGAAGAAGCGACGGCUAACUACGUGCCAGCAGCCGCGGUAAUAC
rnacentral:rRNA from 1 species